GAUCAUGGCUCAGGAUGAACGCUAGCUACAGGCUUAACACAUGCAAGUCGAGGGGCAGCAUGGUCUUAGCUUGCUAAGGCCGAUGGCGACCGGCGCACGGGUGAGUAACGCGUAUCCAACCUGCCCAUCACUUGGGAAUAACCUUGCGAAAGUAAGACUAAUGCCCAAUGACAUCCCACGAAGGCAUCCGAAUGGGAUUAAAGAUUUAUCGGUGAUGGAUGGGGAUGCGU
rnacentral:rRNA from 1 species